rnacentral:rRNA from 1 species
GUCCUACGGGACGCAGCAGUGAGGAAUAUUGGUCAAUGGGCGGUAGCCUGAACCAGCCAAGUAGCGUGAAGGAUGAAGGUUCUAUGGAUUGUAAACUUCUUUUAUAAAGGAAUAAAGUGAGGCACGUGUGCCUUUUUGUAUGUACUUUAUGAAUAAGGAUCGGCUAACUCCGUGCCAGCAGCCGCGGUAAUACGGAGGAUCCGAGCGUUAUCCGGAUUUAUUGGGUUUAAAGGGAGCGUAGAUGGGUUGUUAAGUCAGUUGUGAAAACUACGGGCUUAACUUGUAGACUGCAGUUGAAACUGGUU